CCUACGGGAGGCAGCAGUGAGGAAUAUUGGUCAAUGGACGAGAGUCUGAACCAGCCAAGUAGCGUGAAGGAUGACUGCCCUAUGGGUUGUAAACUUCUUUUAUAUGGGAAUAAAAUGUUCCACGUGUGGGCUUUUGUAUGUAUCAUAUGAAUAAGGAUCGGCUAACUCCGUGCCAGCAGCCGCGGUAAUACGGAGGAUCCGAGCGUUAUCCGGAUUUAUUGGGUUUAAAGGGAGCGUAGGUGGAUUGUUAAGUCAGUUGUGAAAGUUUGCGGCUCAACCGUAAAAUUGCAGUUGAAACUGGCAGUCUUGAGUACAGUAGAGGUGGGCGGAAUUCGUGGUGUAGCGGUGAAAUGCUUAGAUAUCACGAAGAACUCCGAUCGCGAAGGCAGCUCACUGGACUGCAACUGACACUGAGGCUCGAAAGUGUGGGUAUCAAACAGGAUUAGAUACCCCAGUAGUC
rnacentral:rRNA from 1 species